rfam:Salmo salar isolate Sally breed double haploid chromosome ssa01, whole genome shotgun sequence.
UGGCUCAGUUGGUAGAGCAUGGUGUUCGCAAUUCCAGGGUUGUGGGUUUGAUUCCCAC